AAAGUAGUGCACACUCUGCUUGGUUUUAUGGUUUGCAACAACAUCUUUUAAAAUAAUCAUUUAUGAAGGCAGCUGUAAUUUUGUAAUGUAUUUUUUUUACCUUUUUUGCUCCUAUCUCCCAUUCUGGGCUGUGGUUACAUGACCAUGUCCAUGUAGC